rnacentral:misc_RNA from 1 species
GUAGGUACUUGUCGCAGGGGACUGCAAACUCAAAGCUAACUGAAGCUGAGAUGACAUUCAUUAAGCAGAAAUUCAUGGAUGUCACAUGUCUUUCAAGUGAUGAAAAACUUAAUGAUUUGAAGGAAUUUCAGGAUGCAAUAGAUGAUCUAGACUCCAACAAAGAUCUUCUCCUGAAAUUUCUUGAGCAGCCGGAUUCAUUGUUUGCAAAGCAUCUACAUGAUCUGCAAACUGCCCUUCCUCUGUCCCAUUGUUGCCACGUAUCGGGUAUGAGGUCAAUACAUGCUCGAGAGCAUGAAGGUGGUGUCCUUGGCAGCAAAAUAGAUAGAGAAAUGCUAUUGAAGAAUCAUAGAAGGCAC